AUUUGAAACUCACAGCCCCGCUGCCGCUCGGCUCCCCGGGCAAAGCCUGACAUCUACAGUCGUGCCGGGCGCAGGCCGGGUUGCUCGGCGGCGACCGCGCCCGCCCGCCCGCAGGGACCCGGGGACGCACAGGGACGCGCGGGACCCGGGCGCUCAGCUGCGCUCGCUCCGCUUGGGGCGCGGGCCUUGGGGCAGGCCGGGGGUCCCGCGCACCCGCCUGGGGCCAGGAACCCUCGCCGCUCGGCCUGCGCCGCCCCGGGAACCGGCCCCGGCGGGAACAAAGCCCAGGCCCUCCCGGAGGCGCUGACCCCUCGCUCAUCAAAGGUCAGGGGCCGGCCUAGAAUCGGGCGAGAAGAAAGGGACGCGCCCUCGGCCACUAAAAGGAGCCUGAGGCCUCCGAACCGGAGCCAUCGCUCCCUGGGCCCCGUCCACGUCACAGCCAGGCCACUCAAGCAUGGGGACAGGAGCCAAUGUGGACAGGAAUUUAUUGGAAACACACACCCAUCCUAUUAACUGCUUUACAGAGCACUUCUGUUUUUCAGUUGCAGAAACUUAUAAAAACAUCCCCCUGCUCUCCGUUGAGAGUUUAAGGAUAGUUUUUGAGGCCAGAGAAAGAGAAAAGGAGAGAUCACUAGAAAGAUAGGAAGAAAAGAAGUGGGAAGAAAAGGAGAUGCAGUCUACCAUGUAAGCCUCCAGGCUCCUUAGCCUCACCUUAUAAAGCCACAUCACCGCAGAGAUAGCAAAGAUCGUGCCCUUUCCCAGGGAGUUCCUACCGCCAGGCACAGAAAGGCACCUGCUUUUACCCUUUCUGAAAACCACCCACCCAGGCUGGCCUUACAGCCUGGAGAGUCUUUUCCUCGGGCACAAUAAUGAACCAUGCAAGUGUUAGAAAUAUAAUCA
rnacentral:lncRNA from 1 species